UUAAUUUUAAAAAAUAUCUAAUUUUAAAAAUAUAAGUAAAGCAUUUAGAUUUGUAUAGUUAUAGAUAUAUAUAUUUUUUUAAUGUAUUUAUUUAAAUUAUAACAUUAGCAUAUAAAAUUUAAAAUAUUUUAUAUUCUAAUUUUUUUUCAUUGAUAAAAUAGGUUAACCCCUGUUACUUGUUUAUUUUUAUAUUUAAUAAUUAUAACUUUAUUUAAAUAUAAUUUUAUAGAUAAUUGAAACUAGAAAAAACAAAAAAAAAAUUUUCAUUAGUCAGACAUUACUAGUAUCAUAUAUAACGUGGCUUAAAACUUGUUCCAUUAUUAUAAUAGUUAAUUACUUUUUUUUAAAAACAUUAGAGCGUACAUAAUAUAGAAAAAAAAAUGUUACAAUGUUUCCAUGCAUAUAUUUUCUUUUUAUAAGAUAUAUAUAUAUAUAUUUUUUUUUUUUUUAAUGCAUUUAUUUAAAUUAUAGCAUUUACAUAUUAAUUUUAAAUGUUUUAUAUUCUAAUUUUUUUUAUUGAAAAAAUAGAUUAACUUAAUAACUCGUUCAUUUAUAUAUUUAAUAAUUAUAAUUUUUUUUAAAUAUAUUUUUACAAAUAGUUAAAACUAAAAAAAACAAAAAAAAAAUAUUUGUAUAGUUAGAUUGUAUUUUUUUUAAGAAAACAUCGAAAUAAAUAAAUAAAUAAAUAAAAGUUAUAUUAUUAUUAAAAAUGAAAACAACAAAAAUUGCUUUACUUCUUUUUGGAACUUUUAGUUUAUCAACGUUGGAUGUUGCUAUAAAACAUGCCUUUGCUACAGAACAAGAAAUAAACCCCUUUGAUGAAGAACCAUCAAAAUUACUAGAAAAUCCAUUAAAUGUUGAAAAUACGGAACAAGCUGAAAGUACUGUUCAGAAACCAGUACAGGUAAAAAAUUGGAGUAGUGAACAGAUAAAUGAACCAAAUGCAACUGUAGCAAUACCAGUAACUACGAGUAGUGCUGAUGCAAGUAAUCCAGUAGAUCAACAAAACCCUCCAAGUGUUGGACCAUCAGUUGAAAAUAAAAAAGUUGAAAAAACAGAGCAUGCAAAUGUUCAGCCACAUGAGGGAGCUCAUUUUUCUCCAAUAGCUGAUAAAGAUAAAAUAAAGGCCGUAAAGAAAAAUGUAUCAGAACAAAAAGUUGUAAUAAGUUCAAUUUCUAAAUGGAUAAAAAAUGAAAAAAAACUCUUUUUUGAUAAAAUAAAAAAUAUAGAAUUAAAAUGGCAAAACAAUAAAGUUGAAGAAAUUAAAAAUUUUUUACUUUAUUUAGAAAAACGUUGGUUAAGUUAUAAAGGAAAUGUUGAU
rnacentral:lncRNA from 1 species